rnacentral:rRNA from 1 species
UGAGGAACAUGACUUUCGGCGGGGAUAGCCGGCCCAACGGCCGGGUAAUACCGCGUACGACCUUUUGGGGACAUCCCCGAUUGGUGAAAGCAGCAAUGCGCCGAAAGAGUGCCUCGCGGCCUAUCAGCUAGUUGGUGGGUAAUGGCUCACCAAGGCGACGACGGGUANCUGGU